rnacentral:lncRNA from 1 species
GAUGUCGUAUGCAAGCAGUUGGGAUGUGGAACCGCACUUCACUUCGCUGGCUUGCCUCAUUUGCAGUCAGGGUCUGAUGUUGUAUGGCUUGAUGGUGUCUCCUGCUCCGGUAAUGAAUCUUUUCUUUGGGACUGCAGACAUUCCGGAACCGUCAAUUUUGACUGUCUUCAUCAAAACGAUGUGUCUGUGAUCUGCUCAGACCAGUUGCUAUUCAAACUCUGGAACUUCUGGAACUAUUUGCCUCUGGAAGAGUAAGG